rnacentral:rRNA from 1 species
CCCUUAGACGUCCUGGGCCGCACGCGCGUUACACUGAUGCAUUCAACGAGCUUAUAACCUUGGCCGAGAGGCCUGGGCAAUCUUGUUAACGUGCAUCGUGAUAGGGAUAGAUUAUUGAAAUUAUUAAUCUUGAACGAGGAAUUCCUAGUAAACGCAGAUCAUCAAUCUGCAUUGAUUACGUCCCUGCCCUUUGUACACACCGCCCGUCGCACCUACCGAUUGGAUGGUCCGGUGAAGCCUCGGGAUUGUGGUUCUUGCCGCUUUAUUGUGGCGUGACCGCGAGAACUUGUCUAAACCUUAUCAUCUAGAGGAAGGUGAAGUCGUAACA